GACGAACGCUGGCGGCGUGCUUAACACAUGCAAGUCGAACGAUGAAGCUGGAGCUUGCUCCGGUGGAUUAGUGGCGAACGGGUGAGUAACACGUGAGCAAUCUGCCCUUGACUCUGGGAUAACUGCGGGAAACUGUAGCUAAUACCGGAUAUGAGGCUCGAAGGCAUCUUCGGGUCUGGAAAGAAUUCCGGUCAAGGAUGAGCUCGCGGCCUAUCAGCUUGUUGGUGAGGUGAUGGCUCACCAAGGCGACGACGGGUAGCCGGCCUGAGAGGGUGACCGGCCAAACUGGGACUGAGGCACGGCGCAGACUACUACGGGGGGCAGCAGUGGGAAAGAUUGCACAAUGGGCGAAAGCCUGAUGCAGCAACGCCGCGUGAGGGAUGAAGGCCUUCGGGUUGUAAACCUCUUUUGGCAGGGAAGAAGCGAAAGUGACGGUACCUGCAGAAAAAGCACCGGCUAACUACGUGCCAGCAGCCGCGGUAA
rnacentral:rRNA from 1 species